rnacentral:rRNA from 1 species
UAACAACCUGGAAACAGAUGCUAAUACCGGAUAACAACAGAUGAUGCCUAUCAACUGUUUAAAAGAUGGUUCUGCUAUCACUCUUGGAUGGACCUGCGGUGCAUUAGCUAGUUGGUAGGGUAACGGCCUACCAAGGCGAUGAUGCAUAGCCGAGUUGAGAGACUGAUCGGCCACAUUGGGACUGAGACACGGCCCAAACUCCUACGGGAGGCAGCAGA